AGAGUUUGAUCCUGGCUCAGAGUGAACGCUGGCGGCAGGCCUAAUACAUGCAAGUCGAACGGCAGCACGGCAGAGCUUGCUCUGUGGGUGGCGAGUGGCGGACGGGUGAGGAAUACAUGGGAAUCUGCCCAGUCGUGGGGGAUAACGUAGGGAAACUUACGCUAAUACCGCAUGCGCCCUUCGGGGGAAAGCCGGGGACCUUCGGGCCUGGCGCGAUUGGAUGAGCCCAUGUCGGAUUAGCUAGUUGGCGGGGUAAUGGCCCACCAAGGCGACGAUCCGUAGCUGGUCUGAGAGGAUGAUCAGCCACACUGGAACUGAGACACGGUCCAGACUCCUACGGGAGGCAGCAGUAGGGAAUAUUGGACAAUGGGCGCAAGCCUGAUCCAGCCAUGCCGCGUGAGUGAAGAAGGCCCUCGGGUUGUAAAGCUCUUUUGUCCGGAAAGAAAAGCGCCGGGUUAAUACCCUGGUGUCCUGACGGUACCGGAAGAAUAAGCACCGGCUAACUUCGUG
rnacentral:rRNA from 1 species